rnacentral:rRNA from 1 species
CAGGCCUAACACAUGCAAGUCGAGCGGAUGACGGGAGCUUGCUCCUUGAUUCAGCGGCGGACGGGUGAGUAAUGCCUAGGAAUCUGCCUGGUAGUGGGGGACAACGUUUAGAAAGGAACGCUAAUACCGCAUACGUCCUACGGGAGAAAGCAGGGGACCUUCGGGCCUUGCGCUAUCAGAUGAGCCUAGGUCGGAUUAGCUAGUUGGUGGGGUAAUGGCUCACCAAGGCGACGAUCCGUAACUGGUCUGAGAGGAUGAUCAGUCACACUGGAACUGAGACACGGUCCAGACUCCUACGGGAGGCAGCAGUGGGGAAUAUUGGACAAUGGGCGAAAGCCUGAUCCAGCCAUGCCGCGUGUGUGAAGAAGGUCUUCGGAUUGUAAAGCACUUUAAGUUGGGAGGAAGGGCAGUAAGUUAAUACCUUGCUGUUUUGACGUUACCGACAGAAUAAGCACCGGCUAACUCUGUGCCAGCAGCCGCGGGU